rnacentral:rRNA from 1 species
CGCGGCCUAUCAGCUUGUUGGGGGGGUGACGGCCUCCCAAGGCGACGACGGGUAGCUGGUCUGAGAGGAUGGCCAGCCACAUUGGGACUGAGAGACGGCCCAGACUCCUACGGGAGGCAGCAGUGGGGAAUCUUGCGCAAUGGGCGAAAGCCUGACGCAGCGACGCCGCGUGGAGGAUGAGGCCCUUCGGGGUGUAAACUCCUGUUGCCCGGGACGAACGCCGUGUAUGGACACGGGUGACGGUACCGGGUGAGGAAGCACCGGCUAACUCUGUGCCAGCAGCCGCGGUAAUACAGAGGGUGCGAGCGUUGUCCGGAAUUACUGGGCGUAAAGGGCGCGUAGGCGGCCCCGUGCGCGUGCCGUGAAAGCCCGGGGCUCAACCUCGGGUCGGCGGUGCGGACGGCGGGGCUGGAGCACAUCAGAGGCAGGCGGAAUUCCGGGUGUAGCGGUGGAAUGCGUAGAGAUCCGGAAGAACACCGGUGGCGAAGGCGGCCUGCUGGGGUGUGGCUGACGCUGAGGCGCGACAGCGUGGGGAGCGAACAGGAUUAGAUACCCUGGUAGUCCACGCCGUAAACGAUGGGCACUAGGUGCCUGGGGGAGCGACCCCCUGGGUGCCGGCGCUAACGCAUUAAGUGCCCCGCCUGGGGAGUACGG